CCAGGAAGCGGGACAAGGGGAAGGUGAAGCCCCCCCCCAAGCAGAAGCAGCCCAAGGCCAAAGCCCAGCGGAGGAAGGAGAAGCACAAGGUGCCCCCCCCCCAAGGCUCGCAGGGGGGGCCCCGGGGGGGCCGAGGCCCGGUUCAGUGCCCUGGUGGAGCAAUACAAGAGGAAGAUCCUGGGCAGUGACCCCCCCGCGGCCAAGAGGAAUAAGUGGUUCGAGAGCUGAGACCCCCCCCGGCACCCUGACCCCUGACCCCCCACCGGCACCCUGACCACCACCCUGACCCCCCCCAGCGCCCUGACCCCCCCAUGGGUGCUCCCCCCCUUGUGUAAAAGUGUUGGAGUAUAUUUUAAUAUAAAGCUUUUUGGAGGCUAAAAGGUGCCCUCAGGUCCCUGCGCCCCCCCGUGAGCCCCCCCGUGUGUCCCCCCGUGUGUCACCUCAUGUCCCCCACCGUGACCCCAAAUGUGUGUCGUCCCCCGUGUGUCCCCCCUCAUGUCUCCGUGUGCCCCCCCAUGUCCUUGUGUCCUCUCUUGUCCCCCCAUGUCCCCUCCUGUCCCUGUGUCCCCCCCAUCCCUGUGUCCCCCCAUGUCCUCCCCUGUCCCCCUGUGGGGGGCUGCUGAACCCCGGGGCUGAGUCAGCCCGAGUGUGACCCUGAGUGACCUGAAGUGACCCCGUGUGACCCCGUGUCCGGGGGUGCCCCUUGGGUCGGCCCCUCCUUUGGGGUCCCUGUGCCAGGAGGGGGUUGGGGGCACCGGCGGGGCCGCCACCAUCGGCACCAUCAGCAUCGUCAUCAUUGUCACCAUCAUCAUCAUCAUCAUCCCCAUCAUCAUCGUCCCCACGGCGUGGUCAUUCAAGCAGAGUGAAUAAUUCCACGAUCGUUCAAUAUCAAAAUAGGAAUAAAAUGAUUAUAAAAUAA